ensembl:lncRNA
UCUAAAUACAGACACUCAAACUCUCUCUCUCUUCCCCCUGCCCCACCACACACACACACACACACACACACAUGUCUCCUCAUCCAUUCUCUAUGGCAGGCAGGCACCUCGGGCAGCUCUAGAUGGGUGGGGCUGGUUCAGAGCCUUGGAACCUCAUGGAUGCGCUGAAUGAUCACUUACUGUGCAGAUGCUGCGCAGGGACAGAGUGCUACGUAAGCACCAGCCUCGGUCCUCUUUCCUGCCCCGGACAGGUGAAGCAGGUCCCUGACCUGCCCCCAGCUUCCCUUCCACACCCUCUAUGCCUAAUGUGCAUCUCUAGUUCCUUUGGAAAAAAGCCUUUGGCUGCAACAGGGAAGAUGGAAGUUCCAGCUCAGGAAUCCCCUCCCAGGAGGGAAGGGGUGUGAGUCUCUGAGUGUCAGAGAGGAGGGUGAAUCUGACGGGUUAGGAAGGUCCUGUCCGGACACAGAGGAAGGUCAAGGUGACAGCUCGAUGCCUAAGAGGUCACCCUUCACUGGCUUGUGACUCCAGGAAGGCCCAACCCCCAUACUUCUGUCCCUGUUUUUUCUUCUGCCUUGAGUCCACCACCCCUGCCCCCCACCCCCACCGCAGGGCUUCCUUCUCUUUAAGUCUCUACAUCCCUGCUCUUGGAGACUGUCCUGACGUCCUGGUUGAAUCAAUCUGUCCUUCUGUGCCCCAGCAGCUCUGUCACACUGUAGAGGACUUGCCUGGCUGUGAGCCCACCUGCCUCCAGCCAGCCUGGGCACCUCUGUCUGGCAGAGGAGGAUAGACCUGGAGAACUGGGCAGGUUUGAAUCCCAGCUCGGCCUCUGCUGUGUGACCCUGGACAAGUCACUGAACCACGUGAGUCCAGGGUCCUUAUCUGUGCAAUGGGGUGGUGAACAGCCGCCUCACCGGGUUGAUGUGAAGAUUAGAUGGGAUCAUGCAUGGCGGGGACUGUGCAAAUGGCAGCUGUAAUAUUCUAGCUCAUUGCCUGACACACAGCUGAGAAAACGUUUGUUGAAUUCAUCAGCCCCUCUGCUCCCCUGAGUGCUGCCCCCAUCUAUCCUUCCUGUCUUGGGAGGGGUGAAGCAGUCAUGAACAGAAAGGACUGGAGGGCAGAUAGAAUCAGAGGCUGGGAGAUGGGCAAGUAGGGUCUCCAGGCAUCUCUGGGAGCCCACUGCUCCAGCAACAGCUGGAGCCUAGCAGGAGACCGUGCAGGCGACGCUCUCGCACCCUGGUCACCCACCUGUGCCAUCAUCCUCGUCAGCUAGGUGAGGCAGCGGGCAGAGGUGGAGCUGGGACCCACCUCCAGCACUGUGGCUCUCCGAAGCUGCCCGAGGGCCCAUCGGCACACAGUAGGUGCGCUCUGAA